rnacentral:rRNA from 2 species
ACAACUUUCAACAACGGAUCUCUUGGCUCUCGCAUCGAUGAAGAACGCAGCGAAAUGCGAUAAGUAAUGUGAAUUGCAGAAUUCAGUGAAUCAUCGAAUCUUUGAACGCACCUUGCGCCCCUUGGUAUUCCGAGGGGCAUGCCUGUUUGAGUGU